UACGUAGGGGGCAAGCGUUUGUCCGGAUUUAUUGGGCGUAAAGAGCUCGUAGGCGGUUUGUCGCGUCUGCCGUGAAAGUCCGGGGCUCAACUCCGGAUCUGCGGUGGGUACGGGCAGACUAGAGUGAUGUAGGGGAGACUGGAAUUCCUGGUGUAGCGGUGAAAUGCGCAGAUAUCAGGAGGAACACCGAUGGCGAAGGCAGGUCUCUGGGCAUUAACUGACGCUGGAGGAGCGAAAGCAUGGGGAGCGAACAGG
rnacentral:rRNA from 1 species